UAACGCCGCCGGGAAUUAUUACGUCAACGAUAAAUCUACCGGAUCCGUUGUGGCUCAGCAGCCGUUUGGAGGAGCCAGAGCUUCAGGUACCAACGAUAAGCCAGGCGGUCCUCACUAUGUCCUGAGGUGGACGUCUCCCCGGAUGGUGAAGCAGACUCAUGUUCCCCUCACAGAGUGGAAGUACCCAUAUAUGGGCUGAGGGACACCUGUCCACAUGUCCCCUCUCCCCAGCCCAUCCACUGGUCCACUCAUCAGUCCUCCGUCUCUCUCAGGCUCUCCAUCCGUCCUUCAUCUCUGUCCUCCUCUUCCUUGCCAUCCUCCUCUGUCUGUCCCUCUGAAGCUGGACAGGUCUGUCCAUCAGAUGGAGGGACAGUCUGUCUCUCUAUCUCACUCAGAUGUCCACAAACCAACGCUUGUCUCAGAAUCCCAGCUGGAAGCUUCAUGUGAUCCAUCAGAAAUCAGAUCAGAACCGCCAAUGGACUCAAUUCCGUUUGUAACUAAUAAGAUUAAAUCAGGAGCAGAGGUCCAUCAGAGCAGGUACUGAUCCUCCUGGAGGUCAUCCUGGAGGUCAGAGUGAUUAGAAACUGAAGGUAGUUAAAUGUGUCGGGUUCUACUGAGCAGAUGAUGAGUGUGUGUGUGUGGGUGUGUGUGUGUGCGUGUGUGUGUUUGUGGAGACGUUUCCUCCCAGAUCUGGAUGCUAACUCAUAACCGUGUCCGUCUCAGUGACUCUGGACAUUUAGAUGUUUGACAAUAAAUCAUUUCUAACAAUCA